AGUCAUACUCCGUUUCUGUGUCAACAUUAUUCAUCUUGGAUUGAGGUUUGUUCAACAACAUGUUCAGCCUGCUACUUGGAUGACCUUCUUUAGUACCAGUAAAGGUAGUGUCAGGGCGAGAGGCGCAGGCGAAGAUGAUGGGAGAGUCAGCUGUUGACUUACCACAGUGAAGACACCGUGGAUCAAAUACUGGCCACAACUACACGAGAGAACAGCAUAAUAUUAUGAUGUAGAUUGCAGCAGAGCCCAUGAGAUGCGCCA